GUACUCCCUCUCUCUCCUCUAGAUCUCUCUAUGCAUUCUCUCUCCUUUCGCUCUUUAAAAUUCUCUCUCCUCCCGUUUUGUCUAUGUGCUCUCUGCUCGCUCUAUCUCUACGGCCAAGCUGUCUGCGUAUUCUCUCUCCUCUCUCUAUAUAUUUUCUCACGUCCACAGACCCGCAGAUCUCGCACCCUGCUGCUACCAUUUGUCCCUGCUCCUCAAACCCUUGGGCGCACAGAAGGUCUCUCUCAUUAAAUAGCCGCUACCGCUCCCGAUAACUAUGGUCCAAACACACACAUUGUCUCCCUUCAGUAAGGUUGCAAGUGACAUCCCAAAAGAAGAUUCCUGAGGGUUUCAAUCUCAACAAAAGGAAAACCUAUGCUCUCUCGCUCUCUCAACAUCGAUACGAAGGUGGAACUAUAAAAUAAAGUAUGUAACUUGAAUAGAAAAGAAAGAAAAAAUAAGUGCUCUCUCUCUCUCUCUCUCUCAAAAUACCCAAGAACUCUUUCUCUAUUUGCAACAGAAAAGCUUAAGAACUCUUUCUCUAUUUGGAAAAGAAAAGCUCAAGAACUCUUUCUCUAUUUGCACUAAAUACAAAAUGCUCCUUGUUCA